UACGUAGGGUGCGAGCGUUGUCCGGAAUUAUUGGGCGUAAAGAGCUCGUAGGCGGUCUGUCGCGUCGAUCGUGAAAACUUGGGGCUUAACCCUGAGCUUGCGGUCGAUACGGGCAUGACUGGAGUUCGGCAGGGGAGACUGGAAUUCCUGGUGUAGCGGUGAAAUGCGUAGAUAUCGAGAGGAACACCUGCGGCGAAGGCGGGUUGCUGGGCCGACACUGACGCUGAAGCGCGAAAGCCAGGGGAGCGAACGGG
rnacentral:rRNA from 1 species